AACGAACGCUGGCGGCAGGCUUAACACAUGCAAGUCGAACGGUUGCAGCAAUGCAGCAGUGGCAGACGGGUGAGUAACACGUGGGAACCUUCCUAGGGGUACGGAACAACUCAGGGAAACUUGAGCUAAUACCGUAUACGUCCGUGAGGAGAAAGAUUUAUCGCCCUUAGACGGGCCCGCGUCGGAUUAGCUAGUUGGUGGGGUAACGGCCUACCAAGGCGACGAUCCGUAGCUGAUCUUAGAGGAUGAUCAGCCACACUGGGACUGAGACACGGCCCAGACUCCUACGGGAGGCAGCAGUGGGGAAUCUUGGACAAUGGGCGCAAGCCUGAUCCAGCCAUGCCGCGUGAGUGAAGAAGGUCUUCGGAUUGUAAAGCUCUUUUGCCGGGGACGAUAAUGACGGUACCUGGAGAAUAAGCCCCGGCAAACUUCGUGCCAGCAGCCGCCGUAA
rnacentral:rRNA from 1 species